AUUCAAUGAGGAACUGAGAUGAGCAUCACUAGGCUAUCAAAUAAACAGCACACAUAGACCUACCGUUUCAAUAGGGAGCCGUUACCCGUCUCUUGAAACCCCUAACCCCUGACCCCCAAGUCAUGAUGUCGGGGAAGGGGAAGGUUAGCCCGCGUCACCGGCCAUGGUCCGUAUACCGGGCUAACACCUUUGACCACUCUGCUGAGAUGAUGGGGCUGACACUGGCAGGUAACAGUCAGGAGCCAGAUGAACCAGUGUUGGAGUUCAGCCUGG